AUGCUAGCUGAGAUGCCAGAAGUUUCCGAAUUACACCCAGUACCAGAUGCUCAUGUGCCUGUUCUGGUGUUCAAACUUUGUGGGGUGUCUAUUGACCUUUUAUAUGCAAACCUCGCACAUGUGGUGAUUCCUGACGAUCUUGAUCUUUCUCAGGACUCCAUACUGCACAAUGUUGAUGAACAGGCUGUCAGUAGUUUAAAUGGAUGUCGAGUUACGGAUCAAAUCUUACGAUUGGUCCCAAACAUUCCGAGUUUCCGCACAAUCUUAAGGUUCAUGAGAUACUGGGGGAAGCGCCGUGGGGUGUACUCAAACGUUAUAGGAUUUUUGGGUGGCAUAAAUUGGGCUAUUCUUGUUGCUCGUAUAUGUCAAUUGUACCCAAAUGCAUCGCCCAGCAUGUUGAUAUCUCGGUUUUUCAGAGUCUACAGCCAGUGGAAGUGGCCCAACCCUGUUACACUUUGCCAUAUUGAGGAGGGUCCUCUUGGCCUCCCUGUGUGGGAUCCAAGAAGAAACUUUAGAGACAGGGGCCAUCAGAUGCCUAUAAUUACACCUGCCUAUCCUUGUAUGAAUUCUAGUUAUAACGUAUCUACUAAUACUAGGUAUCUGAUGGUCCAAGAAUUCACACGAGGAUACGAGAUCUGCCAGGCAAUAGAUGAAAAUAGAGCAACCUGGGAUGAUUUAUUCGAGCCAUAUCCAUUUUUUGAAUUAUAUAGAAAUUAUUUAGAGGUCGGUAUCACAGCGAGAAAUGAAGAUGACCUCAGGAAUUGGAAAGGUUGGGUAGAGUCUCGCCUUCGAACACUUGUAUUGAAGUUUGAGCGAUAUACGCAUGAGAUGCUCCUUGCACAUCCUCAUCCCCGAGAUUUCUCAGAUGGAUCCAGGUCGUUGCAUAGCUUUUACUUCAUGGGUCUUUGGAGAAAAGAAACUGCCCAACCUCAAGAACCUGAGCAAUUUGACAUCAGAUGA
rnacentral:rRNA from 1 species